GGUUGGCUCGGCAUUCGCCUCUCUUCCACACAAGCUCGGCGCGGCGGCUGCUCUGUUAUUUCAGACAGGCACACCACGACGGCGAUUCCCCGCCAGCGAGAUGUCGACCGACGGCCUCGAGCUCGACGGGACGGGGGGAACACACAUCGCCGGAUGGAAUUGUACUGUGUUCCGAGUGGAAUCCCAGGAUUCCAUGAGUGCGCCAGCUCUAUAGACGGAGAAGGCCGGCGAAGCUCAGGAAGCUGGAGAUGGGCAGAGAUACGAGACACCGUUUCAGGGUUUGGAUUGGGAAAGCACCGGAUGAGAGGGAAAUACACCCGGAUACGAAGACAUCACUUGGAUUGUCUGUACGCGCUUAUGUAGAGAAACAGAAUGGCCAUGUUGUCAAUCCUACAAUUGGCACAAGUUUUGACUUGUUAGAUGAGGGUUAUGAAUUCUACAACCUUGACUCAUGGGAAUGUGGUUUCUAGCAAAAAGUAGAUUGAAUGUUCA